UCUUUGCUAGUAUAUCGGUUAGUACACGCGCCUGUCAUCCGGAACCAUAGAUCCUGUGUGGUCGCGCGAAAGCUGGGUUCGACUCCCAGGCAAAGAG